rnacentral:rRNA from 1 species
GGAGUUUGGUCCGUGUCUCAGUACCAAUGUGGGGGACCUUCCUCUCAGAACCCCUACUGAUCGUCGGCAUGGUGGGCCGUUACCCCGCCAUCAACCUAAUCAGACGCAUCCCCAUCCCUUAGCGAUAAAUCUUUAUUCCACUUCUGAUGUCAUCGACGGAAAACAUAGGGUAUUAAUCCGACUUUCGCCGGGCUAUGCCCUACUAAGGGGAAGGUUGGAUACGCGUUACUCACCCGUGCGCCGGUCGCCAUCAGAAGUUGCAAGCAACUCCCAUGAUGCCCCUCGACUUGCAUGUGUUAAGCCUGUAGCUAGCGUUCAUC